rnacentral:lncRNA from 1 species
ACAGAACUCAUUUGGCAGGCCAAAACCUGAGAAGAUUCCUUACAGGAAGUGGCCUGUCUGACAAUUUCUUGCCCUCCUUGGUCAUCUCUAACAAAUACAGGGGAUCUCUGGCAUGACGUGACACUUCCUACGGCUCCCAUGGGCUCUCAGAAGGCGGGAAAAAGCUGAACGAUGUAAUUCCAUCCCCAGGCUGAAACACAUUAGCACGUUUGGCAAGUGCUCUAUCAGAGGGCCAUUAGACUGAGGCUCAUGCAUGAGGGGAUAGCAUGCUUUUACUUUCACUCUCUUUGUAAUAAAAAACGAUUUCCCGGUCGGAAUAUCAUUGCUUUUUUACGAGAAAAAUGGCAUAAAAAUUGAUUUUAAACAGCGGUUGACAUGCUUCGAAGUACGGUAAUGGAAUAUUUAGAAUUUUUUUGUCACGAAAUGCGCCAUGCUCGUAACCCUUAUUUACCCUUUCGAUAGUGUCUUGAACGCACGAACAAAACGCCGCUAUUUGGAUAUAACAAUGGAUUAUUUGGGACCAAACCAACAUUUGUUAUUGAAGUAGAAGUCCUGGGAGUGCAUUCUGACGAAGACAGCAAAGAUCCAGAUAAUACUCACACUACUCAUGAACAAUAGAUGUCAGGAAAUCAGGCAGGACAAUUUCCUCUUGCGGGUUUUGAAUUCCCUGGAUACCUGACAUGGGGAUUCUAUGGACGAUCACACUGGAUCUGUGCUGGAGACAUUCUGUCCAAUCAACAGAGAUGAUAUUUGGUGGUGGUUUGGUUGGUGUCUAGCAGGGGAGUGAGAGAGAGAGAGAGAGAGAGAGAGAAGGAUGGAGCAAGAGAAGGAGAGCAUAGAGUAGGAGAGAAAGAGAGAGAGGGAGGGAGGUAUAAGGGGAGAGGGGAAGGAAAUGUGAGGGAAAGAAGCUCUGCCUUAGUUUGGAGGUGUCAGGGGCCUGAUAAGUCCUGUUUAAACAUUCACUGGAACAGAAUGACGUAUGUCAACAGACGCCUGGUACUCAGGUCUCUGUGAUGUGAGCUGAGCCGCUAGCAGGCAGGCACACAGCGCUACAGGAACUAUAAAUCACAGACACUCGACAACGAGCAGUGAGUGACACCUUUGACCCACGCAGCCAGUAGCCCUGGCACACGCAUCCAAGCUAAACCAUCCCUCUCCUCUCCUCAUCUCCACCGCACCAUAUGACGGAUAUCACAUCCAGAACUUCCAAUUCUGAACACACUUCCAUAUAUCAAACGCCAUGUCACAACAAGUUGAAGUGAUCGACUGAAUUGGUGGCCUGGUAUUCAGAGAAUAUACCAGGGCUUACUGUAUACGAUGGCGAGGGUGGCAUGGAUCUAUGACACGGUGUGUUGAUUAUCGCUGAUAUAUAUAUAUAUAUAUAUAUACUGUUGAAGUCGGAAGUUUACAUACACCUUAGCCAAAUACAUUUUCACAAUUCCUGACAUUUAAUCAUAGUAAAAAUUCCCUGUCAAAGGUCCGUUAGGAUCACCACUUUAUUUUAAGAAUGUGAAAUGUCAGAAUAAUAGUAGAGAGAAUGAUUUAUUUCAUCUUUUAUUUCUUUCAUCACAUUCCCAGUGGGUCCGAAGUUUACAUACACUCAAUUAGUAUUUGGUAGCAUUGCCUUUAAAUUGUUUAACUUGGGUCAAAUGUUUUGGGUAGCCUUCCACAAGCUUCCCACAAUAAGUUGGGUGAAUUUUGGCCCAUUCCUCCUGACAGAGCUGGUGUAUCUGAGUCAGGUUUGUAGGCCUCCUUGCUCACACAUGCUUUUUCAGUUCUGCCCAUACAUUUUCUACAGGAUUGAGGUCAGGGCUUUGUGAUGGCCACUCCAAUACCUUGACUUUGUUGUCCUUAAGCCAUUUUGCCACAACUUUGGAAGUAUGCUUGGGGUCAUUGUCCAUUUGGAAGAUCCAUUUGCGACCAAGCUUUAACUUCCUGACUGAUGUCUUGAGAUGUUGCUUCAAUAUAUCCACAUAAUUUCCCUCCUCUUGAUGCCAUCUAUUUUGUGAAGUGCACCAGUUCCUCCUGCAGCAAAGCACCCCCACAACAUGAUGCUGCCACUCCCGUGCUUCACGGUUGGGAUGGUGUUCUUCGGCUUGCAAGCUUCCCCCUUUUUCCUCCAAUCAUAACGAUGGUCAUUAUGGCCAAACAGUUAUAUUUUUGUUUCAUCAGACCAGAGGAUAUUUCUCCAAAAAGUACGAUCUUUGUCUCCAUGUGCAGUUGCAAACUGUAGUCUGGCUUUUUUAUGGCGGUUUUGGAGCAGUGGCUUCUUCCUUGCUGAGCGGCCUUUCAGGUUAUAUCGAUAUAGGACUCGUUUUACUGUGGAUAUAGAUACUUUUGUACCUGUUUCCUCCAGUAUCUUCACAAGGUCCUUUGCUGUUGUUCUGGGAUUGAUUUGCACUUUUUGCACCAAAGUACGUUCAUCUCUAGGACACAGAACGUGUCUCCUUCCUGAGCGGUGUGACGGGUGCGUGGUCCUAUGGAGUUUAUACUUGCGUACUAUUGUUUGUACAUUUUCCCAUGAUGUCAAGCAAAGAGGCACUGAGUUUGAAGGUAGGCCCUGUAAAUACAUCCACAGGUACACCUCCAAUUUACUCAAAUUAUGUAAAUUAGCCUAUCAGAAGCUUCUAAAGCCAUGACAUAAUUUUCUGGAAUUUUCCAAGGUGUUUAAAGGCACAGUCAACUUAGUGUAUGUAAACUUCUGACCCACUGGAAUUGUGAUACAGUGAAUUAUAAGUGAAAUAAUCUGUCUGUAAACAAUUGUUGGAAAAAUUACAUGUGUCAUGCACAAAGUAGAUGUCCUAACCGACUUGCCAAAACUAUAGUUUGUUAACAUGACAUUUGUGGAGUGGUUGAAAAACGUGUUUUAAUGACUAAGUGUAUGUAAACUUCCGACAACUGUAUAUAUAUAUAUAUAUAUGUGUGUGUGUUUAAUAGGUACAUGUACAGUAGUUAUGUCAUGUGUCGUAAUUUGCCUACAUAGUAGUUACAAAAUAUACAUGCACACUCUGGACUCAAUGUCAAAUUAUUGCAUCUACAUGUGUCCCAACUAGGACAUCCUUUAGGACAGUUAAACCACAACCUGGAUGGAAAGAGAGAGCGCUAAGCCCAGGAGAGAACUCCCAGAACUCCCCUCAGACAGCCCAGUGAGAUUCUCAGGAAAAGGCAGACACGGUUUAGCGAUUGACUCCCACUGUUUGCCCAGAAUUUUGACGCUGCAACUCGAAGUCAAGAUGAGAAGUUUCCCAAGGCAUCUCAGCCAUACCCAUCUCUGGCCUGUCCAACCCAGGGCCAAGGCAAUGUCUUAUGUAUGACCGACACUCAUCACUCACCGACUGGAGUAGUUAUGGUGUAUUACAUAGUGAAGUGUAAGGAAUUCAGACACAGCAUAACGUGGAUGUCACGAUGCAGCACUUACUGUAUAGAAAAACGCAACACCCAAGGCACAUGUAGUUUAGAACAAUCCAGCAUGGUUGGAAUGAAAAACGAUGUCAUAACGAAAAUGUUAAUGGUCUUGAUGAAAAUAAUAAACUAUGUGAAAUCUUACCAGGUAACAAUAAUGUAAAUGCCUGCACCAAAGCCUGCCACCUUAUCCUCCAAUGGAGACGUUUCUUUUUAAGUGGCUAAUUGUCUUUUUAUUUUAAAAAAUAUGCGUACAUGUUUAUAGAUGAUGUAAUGUAUUAUAGAUGCAGCCUGUACCAUGUUUGACCAUGUGUAAGGGUCCUGUGUGUAGCUGGUGUAGAGAGUUAGGCGCAGAACAGCAGGUAUGAGUAAUCAACGUGCUUUACUCAAAAAGACAAAUAUACAAAGUAACAUCACGAGCCCACAAAGACGGACCGGAUUACAAUAAACAAUCACUCACAAACACAACAUGGGGAACAGAGGGUUAAAUAAUAAACAAGUAAUUGGUUGAGUGAAGCCAGGUGUGUAAGACAAAGACAGAACAAAUGGAAAAUGAAAAGUGGAUCGGCGGUGGCUAGAAAUCCGGUGACGUCGACCGCCGAACGCCGCCCGAACAAGGAGAGGGACCGACUUCGGCGGAAGUCGUGACACCAUGAUUGUUUUUAGAGUCUCAAAACUCAAUUUGAGUUGGCCACAAUGUGGCUAAAAAAAAAAAUCUAUAUUUUGUAUUAUUGUAUCAAUGUGGAGUGACAGUUCAAUAAAGGUUUCUAAGUCUAACUCGUUCUAGGCAUACGGCUCAGUGAGUCUUAUCAUUGUCUUAUCCUACCGUUCAAAGGAUAGACUAUUUUCGACAUUGUACAACAAAUAGGAUAAGGCGUAGGCUAUGGAUCCCAGCCGAUAUCUUACAGUCAAGAGAAGUCAAAGUAUGUUAUCUGCACUGUACGUAGUGUUUUAAUUCCAUUCCACCGUUGAAAAGUUGUCAGACUAUCACAUUGAAUAGAAUAGAAAGUUGUCAGAGUGUGUGAUAUGUGGGGGAGUAUGUUGAGUGUAAGUACAUUAGACCAUAUGUUUUGUUAGUUUGUUUUGUGCCAAUUCUGUAGACUUUGUUAUCUUUGACAGGAUGUCGCGUGGGUGUAGGCCUACUGUAGCAGUAGCUCUUCUGUACGCACUCUGAGGAAGAGGGGGACAAAUCCACAUGGUGCAAUGGUUACAAGGUGUGUAAUCAUAAGUCCAAAAUGUUUUGCAACGGCAUCCGUUUACUCCAAACGAAAACAAAAAAAGAGAGUUUCUAUUUGAAAAAUUCAGGUAGAUCCCUCCGUUUGGUUCCAUUUGGUUCCUAGUGAAUGUACCCCUGGGAUUCAGGUGUGUAGGCCUAGUCUGCUGUCUUGGUGUUGAGCAGGUGGCUGGAACUUCAGGCAAACAGAGAGAGAGAGGAAGGGUUACGGGUAAGUCACAUUUUUCCAUCUCUACUAGUUUUGAUACUUGGGCCUCUUUGAUGACACAAACUAGGUCGAGGAGAGAAUGGUGUGUAUUGUAAAGAGACGGAUCUACAUAGAUUAAAAUCUCUCUUUAAGAGAUGUCUUCUACACUACCUCCGCAGGUAGACGGUCUUCACACUGACUAGACUUUUCGCAAAAAUACUCUCAGCAGCUCAUUUUGUGACACUCACCCGACAGUUACCCCCCUCUAAGCAGGGCAGUUUAAACAGAAUUGUCUCGUUAAGCCAACACUCCUACAGUAAAAGUUGUAAUAGCAGAGCAAUUUCACAGUUGAAAUCUCCAGACAUUUUUCAUUUUUCUAAAAUCACCAGGGAAUUAUAAAAAUGUUCAGUCACAAUUUGCUUUUUACCUCAUAUCAUGACUUCCAUGAUAUUGAUAAAAUGAAACCUGGUUUGUUUGAAGGUAACUUUAAUGUCUCCUCACCUUGCAAGCUAAAUAUUUUGGCGGCAAUUUUACAAAUUUUGCCAUGGGGCAGAGAAGGAAAUUUGAAGUUGUACAGCUAAUUUUCUGCAAUUCCACACAUUUUUCAAUAGGGUAGAGAGAAAUGUUUUGAGUUUUUAAUAUGAUAUCUGAGUGAGAGUAACAAACAUAAUCAAUGGGGGCCCACCGAUCAGGAAUUACAGGUCAGACGCUAAAUUGUCUGUUCUGGCAAAGGUAUUGGAGUCCCUAGUCAAUAAGCAGCUUAAGGCCUACCUCCAGGAAAACAAUAUUUUGAGUGGUAUGUAAUCAGGUUUCAGGUCUAGAAACAGCAUUGUCACAGCAACUUAGAGAGUUUUGAGUGAUAUUAACUGAAGCUGCAUUGUGUAUUCAUAGACUUGUCAAAGGCAUUUGACACUGUGGACCAUACUGUCUUGGUGCAGAGACUGAAGUUCAUUGUUAUUACUGGUCAUGCUCUCGAGUGAUUUGUGAACUACCUGUCAAAUUGAACCCAGUGUGUUAAAGCAGAUGGUUGUAAGUCGGAGACCAUAGAGUUAUGCUCGGGUGUGCCUCAAGGAUCAAUUUCAGGUCCCAGGUCCCAUGUUGUUUGUUAUCUAGAUCAACAACAUUGGGAGACAAAUGACUAUCGUCUCUUUGCCCUCACCCUGGUCAUCAUGAAGUGUUUGGAGAAGCUGGUCGUGGACCACAUCCAGGCACACUGGACCCAAUUUGCCAACCGCUCAUACAGGUCCAUUGAAAAAUGCAAUUUCCAUCGCUAUUCACACCAAAAACACCUAUGUGAGAAUGUUGUUUAUUGGCUACAGUUCACCAUUCAACACUAUUGUUCCCUCCAAGCUCGACACCAAGCUCAAAUACCACCCUCUGCAACUGGAACCUGGACUUCCUGACGGGCAGACCAAAGGCUGUGAGGAUUGGCAACAACAACAACAUCUCCUCCACACAGGCUCCUCCCUUCAGGGGUGUGUCCUCAGCCCUCUGCUGUACUCCUUGUUCACCCAUGACAGCGUGGCUUUGCAUGACGCCAACUCCAUUAUCAAGUUUGCUGACGACACCACGUUGUACGCCUGAUCACCAACCUCGGCAAGUCAGCCAAUGCAGAGGAGGUAAGUGGCACCACAGUACCAUGCUGAGGGCUCGAUGGUGCCAGGCGUGACGCUUGGCAUUCAGGCCUAAGUGUUCAAUCUUAGCUUCAUCAGACCAGACAAUCUUGUUUCUCAUGGUCUGAGUCCUUUAGGUGCCUUUUGGCAAACUCCAAGUGGGCUGUCAUGUGCCUUUUACUGAGGAGUGGCUUCCGCCUGGCCACUCUACCAUAAAGGCCUGAUUGGCGGAGUGCUGCAGAGAUGGUUGUCCUUCUGGAAUGUUCUCUCAUCUCCACAGAGGAACUCUGGAGCUCUAACAGAGUGACGAUCGGGUUCUUGCUCACAUCCCCGACCAAUGCCCUUCUCCUCAGAUUGCUCAGUCUGGUCGGGCGGCCAGCACUAGGAAGAGUCUUGAUGGUUCCAAACUAAUCAAAUUUAAGAAUGAUGGAAGCCACUGUGUUCUUGGGAUCUGUGCCUCGACACAAUCCUGUCUUGGAGCUCUACGGACAAUUCCUUCGACCUCAUGGCUUGGUAUUAGCUCUGACAUGCAAUGUCAACUGUGGGAACUUAUAUAGACAGGUGUGUGCCUUUCCAAAUCAUGUCCAAUCAAUUGAAUUUACCACAGGUGGACUCCAAUCAAGUUGUUGAUUGGAGUCAUCUCAAGGAUGAUCAAUGGAAACAGGAUGCACCUGAGCUCAAUUUCGAGUCUCAUAGCAAAGGGUCUGAAUACUUAUGAAAAUAAGGUAUUUCUAUUUUUCAUAUUUUAUAAAUUAGCAAAUAUUUCUAAAAACCUGUUUUCGCUUCGUCGUUAUGGAGUAUUGUGUGUAGAUUGAUGAGGAUUUAUUUUUAUUUAAUACAUUUUAGUAUAAGGCUAUAAACGUAACAAAAUGUGGAAAAUGUCAAGGGGUCUGAAUACCUUCCGAAUCCACCGUACCGUAGUUGUUUCUAGUUGUUACCCGAUGUCACUAGUUUGCGUUGCCUGAUGUAAGGAAGCAUGUUGUUUUAUUUCACACACACCACACACCACACUCAUGCCUGCAUGCACACACACGCACAUUGACUGUAUGUUUGCUGUUGUACUUGUGCUGUUGCCAGCGUCUUCUGUCGUUUUGUUGUACUUGUUUUUUUUUUGG